rnacentral:misc_RNA from 1 species
GCUAAUAGUUAACCACUCCUCUCUUGAAAUCAAACUAAAAAUACUAGUGCUUUCUUUUAUUGAUGAUAUUGCAAGAAGAAAUUUUGUAUCAUGGAGGAGAAUAAGAGUUAUUGUGUAACAGGAGGAACAGGCUUCAUUGGCUCAUGGCUCAUUAAAUCACUUCUUCAAAUGGGCUACAAAGUCCAUGCUGCUGUGCGCCAUCCUGAGAAGUCAUCACAUCUAUUGAAGUUGGCUGAGGGCAGUGAGAUGCUAAGAUUAUUCAAAGCUGAUUUAAGAGAAGAAGGAAGCUUUGAUGAAGCAAUGAGAGGUUGCAUUGGCCUAUUUCAUGUUGCUGCACCCAUGGAAUUCUGUCCACCAGCCACAGAAAACGUUGAGAGGUAUGUCGAAGAAAAUAUGAUAGAGCCAGCCAUCGAAGGGACCUUGAAUGUUCUGAAAUCGUGCUUGAAAUCCAAUUCUGUUAAAAAAGUUGUAUUCACAUCAUCAAUCAGUACCAUCACAGCCAGAGACAACUUUGGGAGAUGGAGACCUUUUGUCGAUGAAUCUUGCAAAGUACCUAUCCAACAUGUUAAGCACACAAAACCAACUGGUUGGGUUUAUGUACUACUAAAGGUUUUGACAGAGGAUGCAGCAUUUCAGUUUGCAAAAGAAAAUGGCAUUAAUUUGGUUUCAACGAUAACACCAACUAUAGCUGGUCCAUUCCUCACUCCUACAGUUCCAUCAAGCAUUCAAGUUCUCUUGUCACCAAUAACAGAUGAUCCUGAUAUGUUAGCUAUACUCACCGCUGUAAACACAAGAAUGGGAUCAAUAGCAUUAGCUCAUAUAGAGGAUAUAUGUCGCGCCCACAUAUUCCUCAUGGAGAAUAUUAAAGCACAAGGACGAUAUAUAUGUUGUGCUCAGAGUUGGGCAUUGUCUGAAGUUAUCGAUCACCUUAAAAACGAGUAUCCUUACCUUGAUGCAGAGAGGCGCGGAGGACAUGAUUCAGUGAUCCCCUCGGAGAUUUCAUCAAAGAAAUUGAGAGGACUCGGAUUUUCUUUCAAGUAUGAAAUCAACGAUAUCAUAAGAGAUACAAUUACUAGUUGUAUACAUCAUGGAUUCUUAGCCUCAAUUCAAAAGUAAGAAUUGCAAAUUACAUGUACCAAAACCUUAACUCUUACUUUGAUGUAUCAGUAUACUCCUUUU